GGGCCUAUAGCUCAGCGGUAGAGCAGCCGGCUCAUAACCGGCUGGUCCCUGGUUCGAACCCAGGUGGGCCCACCA
rnacentral:tRNA from 2 species